AUUGAACGCUGGCGGCAGGCCUAACACAUGCAAGUCGAACGAGUGGCGGACGGGUGCUUAAUAUCUGGGAAACUGCCUGAUGGAGGUGGAUAACUACUGGAAACGGUAGCUAAUACCGCAUACCAUCAGCUGUGCCCAGAUGGGAUUCGCUUGUUGGUUGUGUAACGGCUCACCAAGGAGUCGAUCCCUUGCUGGUCUGAGAGGAUGACCAGCCCCACUGGAACUGAAGCACGGUCCAGACUCCUACGUGAUGCAGCAGUUGGGAAUAGUGCACCAUGGGCGCAAGGCUGAUGCAGCCAUGCCGCGUGUAUGAAGAAGGCCUUCGGGUUGUAAAGUACUUUCAUCGUGGAGGCGUUAUCUGAAGAAGAAGCACCGGCUAACUCCGUGCCAGCAGCUGCGUUAAUAC
rnacentral:rRNA from 1 species